GUGGGGAAUUUUCCGCAAUGGGCGAAAGCCUGACGGAGCAAGACCGCGUGAGGGAUGAAGGCCUAAUGGUUGUAAACCUCUUUUCUCUAGGAAGAUGAUGACGGUACUAGAGGAAUCAGCCUCGGCUAACUCCGUGCCAGCAGCCGCGGUAAUACGGAGGAGGCAAGCGUUAUCCGGAAUUAUUGGGCGUAAAGCGUCCGUAGGUGGUUGAACAAGUCAGUUGUUAAAGAGUGGGGCUUAACCCUAUAGAGGCGAUUGAAACUGUUUAACUAGAGUUAGGUAGGGGUUACGGGAAUUCCCAGUGUAGCGGUGAAAUGCGUAGAUAUUGGGAAGAACACCGGUGGCGAAAGCGCGUGACUGGGCCUUAACUGACACUGAGGGA
rnacentral:rRNA from 1 species